rnacentral:rRNA from 1 species
ACGUAGGGUGCGAGCGUUAAUCGGAAUUACUGGGCGUAAAGCGUGCGCAGGCGGUUUUGCAAGCCGGAUGUGAAAUCCCCGGGCUCAACCUGGGAAUGGCAUUCGGGACUGCAAGGCUGGAGUGCGGCAGAGGAGACUGGAAUUCCUGGUGUAGCGGUGAAAUGCGCAGAUAUCAGGAAGAACACCUAUGGCGAAGGCAGCUCUCUGGGACGGUACUGACGCUGAGACGCGAAAGCGUGGGGAGCGAACAGGA